UCCUCUAUCUAAGAGCACGUUCAACGCUGUCUCUUAAGUACGUAUUUAACGCUUAAACGUGAUUAAAAGAAAAAAAAAAAGACAAAAUCCGAAGCCACGUUCCUUAAUUAGGGGCGCUAUGAUACCGUAUGUUACGGGCAAGUGUCACACAAUAAUUGGAAAGGGCAACGGUGGAGACGCGUCUUCGUUUCAUCUUCUUUCUUUUCAGAAACCGUCUCGACGACGAGAAGGGCGAUUCCUCUGGCUCUCAGUGGCUCUUCUCUCGUCGACUCCUCGGCGACGUCUCCUCUCAUCGAGAAAGGAAAAAUACGACGUCUCUAUCGAUGGCUCUGCUCGAGGAAGGAUGACGGUGAUUUGGAUGGAGAGCUUGAGUUGGUGGCUCUCCUCGGCGAUACGGCGAUGUCUCAAACGGUGGGUCUCGUCGACGAAGGAAAGCGACGAUCUGACAAUUGGUGGCUCUCAGAGACGCAGAUAAACGCCGCCGAGUGUUAAUCUUUGUUUUGGUUGUUGAUCAAAAGUCGGUACAUGGAUGGAUCAAGACGCACGAUCCAGGUUCAAGACGAAGAUAAACGGCGUCUGUUGCUCAGGCGUAUGAAACGUCGGGAGAUGGAUGGAUGAAGACGCAUGAUCCAGGUUCGCCAGACCAAAGGCGUACUCUUGUUGAUAGAGAUCUGUGACUCUUUUCAAAAACCACCACCACCUUAGCUCCUUGUACCGCCACGCCGUGACUCCUUACACAUCCACCGUCGUAACUCCUUGCAUCUCCACCGCCGUAUUUCCUUACACCGCCACCGCCGUUACUCCUUGCCGAAGGCCCCGCCAUUGCCACCGCCGCCCCCACAAUUUCUUCACUACCAAAUACAACUCCUUCCCUGUCACUGCUGUAACUCCUUGUAGCCGGAAUCCACUCUACACCGGCAUCGUAUUCGACUGUUCUAUUUGUAUUUGUAUUAUAAUGUUUAUACAAUUAUAAACGUAAUUGUUUAUAUGUAAAUAUGUAAUACAUAUUUUAUAAUUUUAAUAUUAUUAGUUUUUUUUGCA